rnacentral:ncRNA from 1 species
CAAGGCUUGGUCCUGACUUUACUGUCAGCUCUAGCUAAAUUUACACAUGCAAGUAUCCGCGCCCCUGUGAGGAUGCCCUACGAUCUCCCCUCCGGAACAAGGAGCUGGUAUCAGGCACAGAUUAUGCUAGCCCAUGACACCUUGCUAAGCCACACCCCCAAGGGAAUUCAGCAGUGAUAAACAUUAAGCUAUAAGUGAAAACUUGACUUAGUUAAAGCUAAGAGGGCCGGUAAAACUCGUGCCAGCCACCGCGGUUAUACGAGAGGCUCAAGUUGACAGACACGGCGUAAAGAGUGGUUAGGCAACCCCCCCCCCCCUCCCCCUACACACACAUAUAUAUACACACUAAAGUCGAACGCCCUCUGGGCUGUUAUACGCGCUAUGAAGGUAAGAAGCUCCACCACGAAAGUGACUUUAUUUUUCCUGACUCCACGAAAGUUGAGAUACAAACUGGGAUUAGAUACCCCACUAUGCUCAACCCUAAACUUUGAUAGUUCACUACAACCCCUAUCCGCCAGGGAAUUACGAGCACUAGCUUAAAACCCAAAGGACUUGGCGGUGCUUUAGACCCACCUAGAGGAGCCUGUCCUAGAACCGAUAAUCCACGUUGAACCUCACCCUUUCUUGCCUAUUCAGCCUAUAUACCGCCGUCGUCAGUUAACCCCGUGAUGGACUCAUAGUUAGCGAAAUUGGCACAGCCCAAAACGCCAGGUCGAGGUGUAGCGAAUGAAAGGGGAAGAGAUGGGCUACAUUUCCUGAACCCAGGACAUACGGAAGUUAUGCUGAAAAACCAUUUUUUGAAGGAGGAUUUAGCAGUAAGUAGAAAUCAGAAUGUUCUACUGAAGCUGGCUCUGAAGCGCGUACAUACCGCCCGU